rnacentral:rRNA from 1 species
UUGGCGGACGGGUGAGUAACGCGUGGGGAACCUGCCCUGUACAGGGGGAGUAACACUUAGAAAUAGGUGCUAAUACCGCAUAAGCGCACAGUAUCGCAUGAUACAGUGUGAAAAACUCCGGUGGUACAGGAUGGACCCGCGUCUGAUUAGCUGGUUGGCGGGGUAACGGCCCACCAAGGCGACGAUCAGUAGCCGGCCUGAGAGGGUGAACGGCCACAUUGGGACUGAGACACGGCCCAAACUCCUACGGGAGGCAGCAG